UACGUAGGGUGCGAGCGUUUGUCCGGAAUUAUUGGGCGUAAAGGGCUCGUAGGCGGUUUGUCGCGUCGGGAGUGAAAACCUCGGGCUUAACUCGGGGCUUGCUUUCGAUACGGGCAGACUAGAGGUAUGCAGGGGAGAACGGAAUUCCUGGUGUAGCGGUGAAAUGCGCAGAUAUCAGGAGGAACACCGGUGGCGAAGGCGGUUCUCUGGGAAUAUCCUGACGCUGAGGAGCGAAAGUGUGGGGAGCGAACAGG
rnacentral:rRNA from 1 species